UAGGGAAUCUUCCACAAUGGGCGAAAGCCUGAUGGAGCAACGCCGCGUGUGUGAUGAAGGGCUUCGGCUCGUAAAACACUGUUGUAAGAGAAGAAUGACAUUGAGAGUAACUGUUCAAUGUGUGACGGUAUCUUACCAGAAAGGAACGGCUAAAUACGUGCCCG
rnacentral:rRNA from 1 species